AGGGGCAGCAUUAUCGCUUGCGAUAGAUGGCGACCGGCGGACGGGUGCGUAACGCGUAUGCAACCUACCGAUUACCAGGGGAUAGCCCGAAGAAAUUUGGAUUAAUACCCUAUAGUACUAGAUAAUUGCAUGAUUGUUUAGUUAAAGAUUUAUUGGUAAUUGAUGGGCAUGCGUCCCAUUAGCUAGUUGGUGAGAUAACGGCUCACCAAGGCGAUGAUGGGUAGGGGGUCUGAGAGGAUGAUCCCCCACACUGGUACUGAGAUACGGACCAGACUCCUACGGGAGGCAGCAGUAGGGAAUAUUGGUCAAUGGGCGAGAGCCUGAACCAGCCAUGCCGCGUGCAGGAAGACGGCCUUCUGGGUUGUAAACUGCUUUUAUAUAGGAAUAAAAAGGUUCUGCGGGACCCAUUGCAUGUACUAUAUGAAUAAGCACCGGCUAACUCCGUGCCAGCAGCCGCGGUAAUACGGAGGGUGCAAGCGUUGUCCGGAUUUAUUGGGUUUAAAGGGUGCGUAGGCGGUUAUUUAAGUCAGUGGUGAAAUCCCUCAGCUCAACUGAGGAACUGCCAAUGAUACUGGAUAACUUGAUUACCGUAUAGGUAGGCGGAAUUUAUGGUGUAGCGGUGAAAUGCAUAGAUACCAUAAAGAACACCGAUAGCGAAGGCAGCUUACUGGACGGUAAAUGACGCUGAUGCACGAAAGCGUGGGUAGCGAACGGGAUUAGAUACCCCGGUAGUCCACGCCGUAAACGAUGAUCACUCGAUGUGUGCGAUAGACAGUACGCGUCCAAGCGA
rnacentral:rRNA from 1 species